rnacentral:misc_RNA from 1 species
GAUGAAGAACGCAGCGAAAUGCGAUACGUAAUGUGAAUUGCAGAAUUCAGUGAAUCAUCGAAUCUUUGAACGCAUAUUGCGCUCUCUGGUAUUCCGGAGAGCAUGCUUGUUUGAGUAUCAGUAAACACCUCAACUUCCAUAUCUUUUUUGAAAUGGGAGUUGGACUUGAGUGAUCCCAACGCUUUUCCUCACCGAAAAGUGGCGGGUUACUUGAAAUGCAGGUGCAGCUGGACUUUUCUCUGAGCUAUAAGCAUAUCUAUUUAGUCUGCCUAAAAAACAGAUUAUUACCUUUGCUGCAGCUAACAUAAAGGAGAUUAGUUCUUGUGCUGACUGAUGCAGGAUUCACAAAGACGGCUUCGGCCGACUUUGUAAACUCGAUCUCAAAUCAAGUAAGACUACCCGCUGAACUUAAGCAUAUCAAUAAGCGGAGG